rnacentral:rRNA from 1 species
AUGUGGAAGAUUAAGAUGCCUCCGAGCGUGAAAGUCUUUAUGUGGCUGACUCUUAGAAACUGCAUUUUCACGAAAGAUAAUUUGCACCGUAGAGGGUGGAGUGGAGAUGAUAAAUGCCCGUUCUGUGUCCAUGUGGAAACUGUAAAUCACUUAUUCAUAUCCUGCUCGGUAGCUAGGCUACUAUGGAACAUUCUCAAAUGUGCUUUCGAUUUAACUGAGAUACCAGACGACUUGGAUCUGGUGAUGAGAAUUUGGGCUAAAACUUUUGGAAAGGAAGAGAGGGGUUUAGUUAUGAUAGGAAUUUCAGCUAUAUGUUGGACACUUUCGAAAUUGAGAAAUAGUGUUUUUUAUAAUAACAGGAUAAAUGAUCCAUGUGUCCCUAUUAAUUUGCUUCUUAAAAACUUACAUGAUUGGAAUAUUUUGCAGAAAAACCCCUCAAGAAGUGAUAUGAUGGAAGCAGGAGUGAAGCGAGUGGGUGAAGUUGCUGAGGAGAUAUUCAAAGCAGUACAUGGGUGGUGCCUGGAGACUAGAAGAAUUAUGGGAUGA